AACAAACGCUGGCGGCGUGCCUAAUACAUGCAAGUCGAGGGGCAGCAUGACUGUAGCAAUACGGUUGAUGGCGACCGGCAAACGGGUGCGGAACACGUACAGAACCUUCCUUCGAGCGGGGAAUAGCCCAGAGAAAUUUGGAUUAAUACCCCAUAGUAUUACGGAGUGGCAUCACUUUGUAAUUAAAGAUUUAUCACUUGAAGAUGGCUGUGCGGCUGAUUAGGUAGUUGGCGGGGUAACGGCCCACCAAGCCUGCGAUCAGUAACUGGUGUGAGAGCAGGACCAGUCAAACGGGCACUGAGACACGUGCCCGACUCCGACGGGAGGCAGCAGUAAGGAAUAUUGGUCAAUGGACGAAAGUCUGAACCAGCCAUGCCGCGUGGAGGAUGAAGGUCCUCUGGAUUGUAAACUUCUUUUAUAUGGGACGAAAAAAGGCUUUUCUAGGUCGUCUGACGGUACCAUAUGAAUAAGCACCGGCUAACUCCGUGCCAGCAGCCGCCGUAAUAC
rnacentral:rRNA from 1 species